GAUACCCUAUUAUUAAAAGUGUAAAUAUUUAAAUUAAUUAGUAUUUGUUAUGUUCAUAAAAAUUAAAGAAUUUGGCGGUAUUUUAGUCUAUUCAGAGGAACCUGUCCUAUAAAUGAUAAUCCACGAUUUAUAUAAUUUAUUUUAUUAGUUUGUAUAUCGCUGUAGUUGAAUAUUUUGAUAGGAUUUUAAUGUUCAUGAUUUUUUUACUAAAAGAAAAUCAAGUCAAGGUGUAGCUUAUAAAUAAAAAGAGAUGGGUUACAAUAAAAUUAUUUAUAUAGAUUUUUUAAUUAAAAUUGAAUUUGAAAUUGGAUUUGAUAGUAAUUUUAAAUAAUUAUUUAGAAUGAUUAUAGCUCUAAAAUAU
rnacentral:rRNA from 1 species